UACGUAGGGCGCAAGCGUUGUCCGGAUUUAUUGGGCGUAAAGAGCGUGUAGGCGGCCACACAGGUCUGCUGUGAAAACUCGAGGCUCAACCUCGAGCUGUCGGUGGAAACCGUGUGGCUAGAGUCCGGAAGAGGAGAGUGGAAUUCCCGGUGUAGCGGUGAAAUGCGUAGAUAUCGAGAGGAACACCAGUGGCGAAGGCGAGUCCCUGGACACUUCCUGACACUGAGGCACGAAAGCUAGGGGAGCAAACAGG
rnacentral:rRNA from 1 species